AUUGAACGCUGGCGGCAGGCCUAACACAUGCAAGUCGAACGAGUGGCGGACGGGUGAGUAAUGUCUGGGAAUCUGCCUGAUGGAGGGGGAUAACUACUGGAAACGGUAGCUAAUACCGUAUACUAUCAUAUGUGCCGAGAUGGGAGUCGCUUGUUUGUGGGGUAACGGCUCACCAAGGCGACGAUCACUAGCGGGUCUGAGAGGAUGACCAGCAACACUGGAACUGAGACACGGUCCAGACUCCGACGGGAGGCAGCAGUGGGGAAUAUUGCACAAUGGGGGCAAGCCUGAUGAAGCCAUGCCGCGUGUAUGAAGAAGGCCUUCGGGUUGUAAAGUACUUUCAGCGGGGAGGCGUUACCCGCAGAAGAAGCACCGGCUAACUCCGUGCCAGCAGCCGCGGUAAUAC
rnacentral:rRNA from 1 species